rnacentral:rRNA from 1 species
GAUGAACGCUGGCGGCAUGCCUAAUACAUGCAAGUCGAGCGAAGAGGGGACGGGUGAGUAACACGUGGAUAACAUCCUAUAAGACUGGGAUAACUUAGUGAAACCGGUACUAAACCGGAUACUUAUCGAUGGAUCCGCGCUUCAUUUGCUAGUUGGUAAGGUAACGGCUAACCAAGGCAACGGUGCAUAGCUGACCUGAGAGGGUGAUCGGCCACACUGGAACUGAGACACGGUCCAGACUCCUACGGGAGGCAGCAGUAGGGAAUAUUCCGCAAUGGGCGAAAGCCUGACGGAGCAACGCCGCGUGAGUGAUGAAGGUCUUCGGAUCGUAAAACACUGUUAGUAGGGAAGCGGUACCUAAACAGAAAGCCACGGCUAACUACGUGCCAGCAGCCGCGGUAAUUC